GAUGAACGCUGGCGGCGUGCCUAAUACAUGCAAGUCGAGCGAACAGACGAGGAGCUUGCUCCUCUGACGUUAGCGGCGGACGGGUGAGUAACACGUGGAUAACCUACCUAUAAGACUGGGAUAACUUCGGGAAACCGGAGCUAAUACCGGAUAAUAUAUUGAACCGCAUGGUUCAAUAGUGAAAGACGGUUUUGCUGUCACUUAUAGAUGGAUCCGCGCCGCAUUAGCUAGUUGGUAAGGUAACGGCUUACCAAGGCGACGAUGCGUAGCCGACCUGAGAGGGGACUGCGCCAACCUGAAACGUGCACCGGUCCCAAGCCCCCUGGGGGGGCAGCGGUGGGGACUCUUCCACAUGGGGGGAAGCCCUAAGGGGGAACCGCCGGGGGGGUGAAAAGGUGUUUCGGACCGUAAACCUCUUUUUUUGGGGAAAAAAAAAUGUUAAAGUAACGUUCCCCGGUUUGACGGUACCAAAAAAAAAAGCCCCGGCUAACUACGU
rnacentral:rRNA from 1 species